CAUCAUCCGAAUGGUUAUUAUCUGUAAUGAUUUGCUUGUUGUGUUUAAGUGGCAAAAUUUCGUAAAGGAUUGUUUUUAUAAUUGACGAGUAUUGAAUAUGCCAAAGCCAAGGAAGAGGAGAACCACGAUUUCUAAUGAAGAAAAGACUAUUAAAGAUGAUGAAAGCGUGAUCGAUGGUCAACGAUCAACUACAGGUAAAUUCUUAGGCCUAAUGUUAGGGUUAGACUAUUGUCAAACAAAUUUAAAAGACCAUGUUUAUAAUGCUCUCACUUCUACGUGCGAGUAUAAGAAAUUAAACAUAAUCUAAAUAAUAAAGACUAAUGAAAAC
rnacentral:lncRNA from 1 species